rnacentral:rRNA from 1 species
UGGCCGUAAACGAUGUGGACUUGGUGUUGGAAGUCCUUUGGGGGCAUUCAGUGCCGGAGAGAAGUUGUUAAGUCUGCUACUUGGGGAGUACGUCCGCAAGGAUGAAACUUAAAGGAAUUGGCGGGGGAGCACCGCAACGGGAGGAGCGUGCGGUUUAAUUGGAUUCAACACCGUAAAACUCACCAGGGAAGACUGUUACAUGAAAGCCGAGAUGAAGACUCUGCUAGAUUUUCAGAGAGGAGGUGCAUGGCGUCAGUGACU